rnacentral:rRNA from 1 species
GUUUGAUCAUGGCUCAGGAUGAACGCUAGCGGCAGGCCUAAUACAUGCAAGUCGAACGCCCAGCAAUGGGAGUGGCGCACGGGUGCGUAACGCGUAUGUAACCUACCUUAUUGAGGGGGAUAGCCCGGAGAAAUUCGGAUUAAUACCGCAUAAGAUGGAAGACUGGCAUCAGUUUUUCAUGAAAGAUUUAUUGCGAUAAGAUGGACAUGCGUCUGAUUAGUUAGUUGGUGAGGUAACGGCUCACCAAGACGAUGAUCAGUAGGGGUUCUGAGAGGAAGGUCCCCCACACUGGCACUGAGAUACGGGCCAGACUCCUACGGGAGGCAGCAGUAGGGAAUAUUGGGCAAUGGAGGGAACUCUGACCCAGCCAUGCCGCGUGCAGGACGAAGGAGCUAUGCUCUGUAAACUGCUUUAGCAGGGGAAGAAAAGGCGUCUGCGGACGAGAUUGACGGUACCCUGAGAAUAAGCACCGGCUAACUACGUGCCAGCAGCCGCGGUAAUACGUAGGGUGCAAGCGUUGUCCGGAUUUAUUGGGUUUAAAGGGUGCGUAGGCGGCUUUAUAAGUCAGUGUUUAAAGCACAUAGCUCAACUAUGGAACUGGCAUUGAUACUGUAGAGCUUGAGUAGAAACGGGGCAGGCGGAAUUUAUGGUGUAGCGGUGAAAUGCAUAGAUACCAUAAAGAACACCGAUAGCGAAGGCAGCUUGCCAGGAUCUAACUGACGCUGAGGCACGAAAGCGUGGGGAUCAAACAGGAUUAGAUACCCUGGUAGUCCACGCCGUAAACGAUGAU